rnacentral:rRNA from 1 species
UUCCGGUUGAUCCCGCCGGACCUGACUGCUAUCGGAUUGAUACUAAGCCAUGCGAGUCAUUGUAGUAAUACAAGGCAGACGGCUCAGUAACGCGUAGUCAACCUAACCUAUGGACGGGAAUAACCUCGGGAAACUGAGUAUAAUGCCCGAUAGAACAUUAUGCCUGGAAUGGUUUAUGUUCCAAAUGAUUUAUCGCCGUAGGAUGGGACUGCGGCCUAUCAGUUUGUUGGUGAGGUAAUGGCCCACCAAGACUAUUACAGGUACGGGCUCUGAGAGGAGUAGCCCGGAGAUGGGUACUGAGACACGGACCCAGGCCCUAUGGGGCGCAGCAGGCGAGAAAACUUUGCAAUGUGCGAAAGCACGACAAGGUUAAUCCGAGUGGUUUCUGCUAAAGGAACCUUUUGUCGGUCCUAGAAACACCGAUGAAUAAGGGGUGGGCAAGUUCUGGUGUCAGCCGCCGCGGUAAAACCAGCACCUCAAGUGGUCAGGAUGAUUAUUGGGCCUAAAGCAUCCGUAGCCGGCUCUGUAAGUUUUCGGUUAAAUCUGUACGCUUAACGUACAGGCUGCCGGGAAUACUGCAGAGCUAGGGAGUGGGAGAGGUAGACGGUACUCGGUAGGAAGGGGUAAAAUCCUUUGAUCUAUUGAUGACCACCUGUGGCGAAGGCGGUCUACCAGAACACGUCCGACGGUGAGGGAUGAAAGCUGGGGGAGCAAACCGGAUUAGAUACCCGGGUAGUCCCAGCUGUAAACUAUGCAAACUCAGUGAUGCAUUGGCUUGUGGCCAAUGCAGUGCUGCAGGGAAGCCGUUAAGUUUGCCGCCUGGGAAGUACGUACGCAAGUAUGAAACUUAAAGGAAUUGGCGGGGGAGCACCACAAGGGGUGAAGCCUGCGGUUCAAUUGGAGUCAACGCCGGG